rnacentral:tRNA from 1 species
AUCAAGGUGGCUGAGUUCUAAGCGGUGGAUUGUAAAUCUUCUUACGGUUAUCCCCUUGAUG